UGGUGUGAAACUUAACGUAUAUUUAAGAUCAUAUUGUUUCAACAAGCCCUUUUCUUUUCUUGAAACCUAUCAUGGCUGUUAUCCUCUCUACUAACCAAAUCCUUUUGGACAGCUUUUCCCGAAGUUGAAGAUUCUUCGUCUCAUGCAUUGCAAGAAGUUAGAGAGAAUUCCUCACUGUUCUCUAUACCCAAAUUUAGUUCAUUUGCAACUUCCUGGUUGCUCCAACCUCAAGGAACUGCCAGAUUCGCUAGGCUCACUAGAAAACCUCAAGGAGUUGAAUCUCGAUUUUUGUUCAAACUUGGUGGAGAUUCCUAAAUCCAUAGGCCUUUUACAUAAUUUAGUUCAUUUGCAACUUACUCGUUGCUUCAACCUCAAGGAACUGCCAGAUUCGCUAGGCUCACUAGCAAACCUCAAGGAGUUGAAUCUUAAUUGUUGUUCAAACUUGGUGGAGAUUCCUAAAUCCAUAGGCCUUUUACAUAAUUUAGUUCAUUUGCAACUUACUCAUUGCUUCAACCUCAAGGAACUGCCAGAUUCGCUAGGCUCACUAGCAAACCUCAAGGAGUUGGAUCUGUCUGCGUGCGAGAGCCUCAGUAGACUCCCAACAUCAAUGGAAAGGAUGAGGUCACUACGCCAUCUAAGAAUGGAGAGAUGUGC
rnacentral:lncRNA from 1 species